GGGAAUUGUUCGCAAUGGGCGCAAGCCUGACGACGCAACGCCGCGUGGAGGAUGAAGAAUUUCGGUUCGUAAACUCCUUUCGACCAAGAUGAACAUCCGCCGAUUUAACACAUCGGCGGACUGACAGUAUUGAGAGAAGAAGCCACGGCUAACUUCGUGCCAGCAGCCGCGGUAAUACGAAGGUGGCAAGCGUUGUUCGGAUUUACUGGGCGUAAAGAGCACGUAGGCGGUUGGGAAAGCCUCUUGGGAAAUCUCCCGGCUUAACCGGGAAAGGUCGAGAGGAACUAUUCAGCUAGAGGACGGGAGAGGAGCGCGGAAUUCCCGGUGUAGCGGUGAAAUGCGUAGAUAUCGGGAAGAAGGCCGGUGGCGAAGGCGGCGCUCUGGAACGUACCUGACGCUGAGGUGCGAAAGCGUGGGGAGCAAA
rnacentral:rRNA from 1 species